GAUUGCAUUUCUACCACCUCUCUGCAAUCGCGGCUG
rnacentral:ncRNA from 1 species